GUGGGGAAUCUUCCGCAAUGGACGAAAGUCUGACGGAGCAACGCCGCGUGAGUGAAGAAGGUUUUCGGAUCGUAAAGCUCUUUCGUUAGGGACGAACGUGCUCUUUGUGAAUAAUGAGGAGUAAUGACGGUACCUAAAUAAGAAGCCACGGCUAACUACGUGCCAGCAGCCGCGGUAAUACGUAGGUGGCAAGCGUUGUCCGGAAUUAUUGGGCGUAAAGCGCGCGCAGGCGGGAUAUCAAGUCUGUCUUAAAAGUGCGAGGCUCAACCUCGUGAGGGGACAGAAACUGGUAUUCUUGAGUGUCGGAGAGGAAAGUGGAAUUCCAAGUGUAGCGGUGAAAUGCGUAGAGAUUUGGAAGAACACCAGUGGCGAAGGCGGCUCACUGGCUCGAUACUGACGCUGAGGUGCGAAAGCGUGGGGAGCAAACAGGAUUAGAUACCCCUGUAGUCC
rnacentral:rRNA from 1 species